rnacentral:tRNA from 1 species
CGGACAGAAGCCCGCUGGAUUGGGUGUUUAGCUGUUAAUUAAUUUCUUGCGGGAUCAAGGCCCGCCUGUCUAG